CAAGUUUCUAUGGGAUCAUAGUCCAGUUCAACUUGGAGAAUACAAAGUUGUUCUUUCUUCCAAAAAUAAAAUAAAAAAUACUAACUAGAUCUCUUUUACAAAAGAAAGACAUGUCUUAGAAAAAUUUAAAGGACCGGACAGGCGAAUACUAAAAAGGUAAAGGCUGAGGACUGUCGACAGAGGCUGCCCAAUGUAAUAAGGACCACCAGGCCCGAUGGGCAGCAGCUCCCAACCUACAGCAGGCGAUUCCAGGUUCGCGAGCAGCACGCAGUUUGACAAACGCCAAGACCCCUGGUCGGGUUCGUGGCACAGACACCGCCAAUGCAACAGCCGCCUGGCCCCGCUCAGCACUACCAGGAGAACUGUGGCCCGCUCCAGUACAGCCCUCCCCUGGAAAUGCGCAGAAGGGAGGUGUCAAAAUCCGCAUCCAGGAGAGAGCUCAGCUUCCACAUGUGAGAGAAAACACAUGAUCCUUGACCUUUAAGGGAGUUCUUUUCUGAUGACUUGUGUUUUCCCUAUAAAGCAUGGACGCCGUGGCCUGUGGAGGUCCAGCAGGUUGAGGAAGGCAGCAAGGAAGACCAGAGGUCAGUGAGUCCUUUUCGCCAAAUGAAAGCCUUACUCCGCCCUCUGGUCAGUCCAUUCCAAGUGGAGACCAGCAGUCUCUGGUCUGAAAAAUGCCUUUACUUCAGGCCCAAAUCAGACAAAAAGGAAGAACAACUUUUGCUGACAGGCCUCAGAGGACCAGGCUGAGGCAUCCUUGACCUUUCUUCUUUCUCUCAGAUGUCCAGUGAACUUUUGUCCAAUUUGUCCUGUAGUCCUCUACCGAUGGCUCCAUUCUAAAACGUCUCUCAAGAGUCUGGAAGGUUGCCAAUCUGGACACAAAAUAGGAGAGUGCCUGAGGGAAGAGAUCAUUCCACAGUUCUUGGUUGUCAGAAAGUUGAAUAUCAUCAAAUGGCUCUGAAAGAAAUGAUGAAAGGGAUCAACGUUGUAAGCAGUGGAACAAGAGGAUUCAUCUGACUCAACUGGAGAUGGCUCCCUUCCCUAAUUUAUUUUUCCUUUCCUAAGGCUUCUCAGUAGAAGCAGCUAGAAGCACAGGGGAAUGGAUACAGACUCACAGAGGCAGCGUUGCCUGGCCACUGAGCCCAAAGCAAAGACAGGCCCCAACUUCUCUCUGGUCCUUCAACCAGGCUUUGCAGAACCUGGAAAGGAAAUCAAUUCCAAAGGCAGGAAAUGACCCACAGACCAUAACAAUAUGUGAAAAAAACGAAGCCGGUGCUUCCGCUGCUUUGUUUCAAACUAUUCUAAUCUGUGUCCCAGGAAGCCUAACCCAGUGCCAGAUGGAGAUCUCUUUUCAGACGCCUCUUGGCAUCUGCCACCCCCCGGCUGGUGACAUUUGCACAUUUCAGAAGGCAAACCUGUCCCCACAUCUUCAAACUUUCAGAGAGGUAUAGCCCCAGGAAAGUCCUUGGGUCCCUGGCUGACAGCACCGACCAUCUGAUUUGCUUCUUCUGCAGCUGAACUGCUGCUGGACCGCAGCCUAGAACGCUAGCACACCAAAUCUGUUCUUGAAAAUCUGCAGAAUCUGAAAUCAAAGUGCCUGGUGCUGCCAGAAAAGCUGGCUUCCUUGCCUGCUUCAUAAUCCUUUCUCAUCAGGCGUUCCUAAAGAAACCUGAUGAGUCAGGAAGGAAGAAAAACGUGUCUGAGGGAGAUCUGGGGGUGGGCUGGUCUCUCUCCUGGCUUCUGAAAAUCCCCUCUUGUUUUGCCAUGCUGGUAACACCUAGGGAUUUGGUUUUACUUUUUCUGUUUCUUCCUCUGUCAGCUCUCCCUCUUGAGAGACCCUUCAUUUACCACUCAUGUAAGUAGCUCUUGCAAAAGCAGGAGGCCCUCUGAUGGGGAGGUAGUCAUGGUUGCAGAGAAGUUUAGAAUUUACUUUUAUCCACAGGAGCAGGGCAAAAAAUCCAAACCAAAACAAACAAAUCCCCGAACCAAGAAAACAAAACUCUGACUCCUACUUCCAGAAGAAACUUGUCACUCACUGCUUUGUUCUGGCCCUGGGGCCGGUGUGUUUCCCAGGGUUUUAAUUUUUACUGAAUACCAGCCAUCAUCAGCCUUCCCACUGAAGUCUGUGUGCCAGUUGGCUUCUAAACACAGUGAGGUGGCUUCUGGGAUAUCAGCUCCAAAUAGGUAUCCAGCUAAUCCCCCCAGGUCAUUGGAAAGUAGCUGUAGUUGCAAAACUAAUGUGCCUGACUAUCAAGACUUUCAAAAUGUGAAACAGGUUAAAGUAGAAAGAAUCCAGUAAAUCUGUCGAUGUCUGACUUAUAGGAAAGUCUCAGCAAGCAAGACAGGAGAGGUUCAAUAUCAGCCUGGUGACAA